rnacentral:rRNA from 1 species
GUAUGGCUGUUCGCCAUUUAAAGUGGUACGCGAGCUGGGUUUAGAACGUCGUGAGACAGUUCGGUCCCUAUCUGUCGUGGGCGUUGGAUGAUUGAGGGGGGCUGCUCCUAGUACGAGAGGACCGGAGUGGACGCAUCUCUGGUGUUCCGGUUGUCACGCCAGUGGCAUUGCCGGGUAGCUAAAUGCGGAAGAGAUAAGCGCUGAAAGCAUCUAAGCGCGAAACUUGCCCCGAGAUGAGUCAUCCCUGAGGCUUUAAGCCUCCUAAAGGGUUGUUGGAGACUACGACGUAGAUAGGCAGGGUGUGUAAGCGUAGCGAUACGUUGAGCUAACCUGUACUAAUUGCCCGUGAGGCUUAACCAU